rnacentral:tRNA from 1 species
GCACUUUUAGUAUAAUUAGUACAUUUGUCUUCCAAACAAAAGGUUUCCUUUACGGAAAAAGUGUAC